rnacentral:lncRNA from 1 species
GGUGGGCUUUGUGGCUUUAGGCCCAGUGGGCUGGGUUAUCACAUUCUAUCUCCCUUAAAAAAAUUUUAUCCUCGAAAUUUAAUAUACCUUCAUUUUUAAAUAAGUAUGGAUAUCUCAUCUUCAUAUCAUCUUCAAGCUCCCAUGUAGCCUCUCUCUCUUCAUGAUUACUCCAGUGAAUCUUCACAUACGGAAUGAUGCAUCGUCUUAGAACUUGCUCUUUUCG